ACAGCGCAUGCGCUUCAAGAGUGAGAAAUCUCUCUGACACCGGUAGCUGAUGUGCCCGACUUACUCGAGAAGUUGAAGAGAAACAGACCACCUCUUCAUUGCCUGCUUGGCAUCCAAAGAAGGAAGAAGGAAAAGCCUCCAUUCUUGGGAUAUGCCAGCCUGAUUGCUCAUCUGCUUCCAAGAGACUUCUGCUGAUUUCAAGAUCUGAUCAAGCUGCUCCAUUACUUGGUUCCAGAAACAACAAUCACGACAGUUGCUGUGGGUCUACAACCUGAAGCCAGAAAACAUCACAGCCUUAAUAGUGGCAGCUUAUAUCCUGCACAAUAUUUGUGAGACCCGGAGGAAGGUUUUCAGUUAGACGUGGACAGGCAGCACAUGGCACGAGACAAUAUCAGCAUGGAGAAGCUGGUCUGGUGGUCCUUGAACUGAAUUGCCUUAAAGUACAUAUUAUGGAUGCUGCCAACAACUAGCAGUGAUUGUUCUUCGUUAUAUUUUUUUUGCCUAUUUACAACAGAAAGCAUCAGUGCCUGCAGUGCAUUUUUGUGAAAAGUAAUGAGGAGAAGUUUUCAGUUUGCAUGGGAAAGGUAUGGGGAGUGGAGGAUGAGCAGGUUAUAGGGGGAGGGGUUGG